rnacentral:misc_RNA from 1 species
UGGAAAAGGUUCCGGAUGGUUGCAAAUCUGAAGUUUGAUGUCCACUCAGACCACUGACACUGCAGUUCAAGGAUAAGGAUUCGGUAGGUGACAUUGUUUCAGGACCAUCAGAAUAAUCAUCAUCCUCACUUUCUCUAUCUCCUCUUGUGUAUAUACUUUCCACCAGGCUAUCCAGUAAAGCUGCAUGAUCCAUCCAAGGAAUUCCUUCAGCUGGAGACCUGUAAAUGUUAUGAGUACGAGGCCUUUCACCCGAAUAGAACCGAACAGUCUCUGGCAAUCUUCCUGGAGGAAGCCUAGGACUACUUGAACGCUCCACACGGAGGCUAGUUCGAGCUUCAUUGUCA